GUUUGAUCCUGGCUCAGAUUGAACGCUGGCGGCAUGCCUUACACAUGCAAGUCGAACGGCAGCAUGAUCUAGCUUGCUAGAUUGAUGGCGAGUGGCGAACGGGUGAGUAAUACAUCGGAACGUGCCCUGUAGUGGGGGAUAACUAGUCGAAAGAUUAGCUAAUACCGCAUACGACCUGAGGGUGAAAGUGGGGGACCGCAAGGCCUCAUGCUAUAGGAGCGGCCGAUGUCUGAUUAGCUAGUUGGUGGGGUAAAGGCCCACCAAGGCGACGAUCAGUAGCUGGUCUGAGAGGACGAUCAGCCACACUGGGACUGAGACACGGCCCAGACUCCUACGGGAGGCAGCAGUGGGGAAUUUUGGACAAUGGGCGAAAGCCUGAUCCAGCAAUGCCGCGUGUGUGAAGAAGGCCU
rnacentral:rRNA from 1 species